rnacentral:rRNA from 1 species
AUUGAACGCUGGCGGCAUGCCUUACACAUGCAAGUCGAACGGCAGCGCGGGGGCAACCUGGCGGCGAGUGGCGAACGGGUGAGUAAUAUAUCGGAACAUACCCUAGAGUGGGGGAUAACGUAGCGAAAGUUACGCUAAUACCGCAUACGCACUAAGGUGGAAAGUGGGGGAUCUUCGGACCUCAUGCUCAUGGAGUGGCCGAUAUCUGAUUAGCUAGUUGGUGAGGUAAAGGCUCACCAAGGCGACGAUCAGUAGCUGGUUUUGAGAGAACGACCAGCCACACUGGAACUGAGACACGGUCCAGACUCCUACGGAGGCAGCAGUGGGGAAUUUUUGGGACAAUGGGGGCAACCCUGAUCCAGCAAUGCCGCGUGAGUGAAGAAGG